GUCAUGGCUCAGUGGUACAGUGCUUGCCUCACAUGUGUGAGGCACUGGGUUUGAUUCUCAGCAUCACA
rnacentral:tRNA from 1 species